UCAGCUGUGUGACCAGAAGGGGUGGAGCCUGGCUGCGCCUCUCUUAGACUCCAUGUAAGGGCUGACUGCCACUGGGGAAGGGGCUCUGAUGGGAGAUCCCCUCCUCUGUGGAGUUUUUCUCUGUGAGCCUAGAUGGUUGGAGAUGGACACAGUGUUAAACUACUGGUCACCUGUCAGCAUUAAUCAGGGAACUGCGUACAAGGAAGGUGGAACUGAGGAAAACCAAGAAAGCUCCUGCGAGCAUAAUCAGUGUGUUUGGAUGGGUCCCACCCUUGGCCUGAGGGGUUCUCUUGGCUCUGGAUGGAAGGGCUGCUGAAUUAUUUAGAUGUGGAAUGGGUGUUCUGACAGCAAGAAUUAUGGUAAAGACUUGAGAUUUACAAGACAGGUUCAGAGGCUCCUAGAAGCAGUGGAAAAAAUAAACAAGAGGAGACAGAGCAGGAAGGCUUCACACUGUGGCUCUGGGGCAAGCAGUUCAUGGGCUCUUGUGGCAGCGUACAGCUGGGAA